GCUUGUCCCAACCCACCCUGUGUGGGCCUGAUCUCAUCUGAUCUUGGAAGCUAAGCAGGGACAGGCCUGGUUAGUGUUUGGAUGGGAGACUGUCUGCAAAUACCAGGUGCUGUAAGCU
rnacentral:rRNA from 1 species